rnacentral:lncRNA from 1 species
GCAGCCACCGGUCACCUCAGCUGUGAACCAUGUAGGAGCCGUCUGGGUGUAGCCCUACCUGCCAGGCGGCGCCCCGCGGGCUGCCGCCGCCGCUGCCUUGAAGAAGCAGUUCAACCUCAUCAGCAGGUGGCCGACCUGACUAUGGGCCGGUCGGCUCUGGACCGAACCACAGCCCAGCCCGAGGCCAGCGGGACGCCCGCUGCCGCUCAAUCGCCCCCUGGUCCUUGGCGACCAUCUGGGACGGGCCGCUGCCUCCUCUGUAGCAACCCCUCGGGUGCCCCCUGCCCAUUGUCCCUACCCCGGCGAGCAUUGCCCUGCGAGGACUACACCCGAUGCUUCUCCUCUCUUCCGGAGGACACAGCCAGCCUGGGACCGCUGCCCUGUGCUAAAACUCCGAUGACUUCUGUCCCUAACGCUGUGCCGAGCGCUGUGCUGUGGGGGGCAGCAUUGUCAGACUUUCCGGGUUGACCCGCUGUUGGGAGUCCUUUAAGUGCAUGGUAGCAAGAAAUAAAGGGAUAUAUGAAAGCCAGUCGGAUUUGCUUAGUGAAUUUCAGAACGCCUGCGAGGGAAUUCGGAGGUGGUGCAGUCUCAGAAACCAGUAUUCCUAGGAACUUGACUGCUGCUGCAAGUUCUUGACAUUUAGAAAUUUAGAACUGGGAGACACCUUGUGCCAGUUUAAAAAGUCUUCUUCCUCUUGGAUUUGGAGACAGCUACUUCUCCAUGUUCCUUUGGUACUGCUUGAAUGCUUGAAAAGAAACAUAGGCAAACAAAAAUAAUUUAUAUACGGAAGAUGUGUGCUUAUGGAGGGAUAGCUAAUGCACUGAACAAAACCUAGCUGUCAUUAGAUGGAGGGAGGUAACAAAAGCUACCCAGAGAUGAAAAAUCUGAGCAGAGACUUUGUCAUCCGUCUUUAAACACUGCUUUCAAAUACUACUUGUAUUGAUUAGGUCUCUUGGCCAUAAAGAAAACCUAAAACUUCUUCAAGCAAAGAUAGGAAUUAGUUGUCUCCUAAGUAAUCACAAGAGUCCAAGAGUAGUGUGGCUGCAGAUUUGGCUACAUCCAGGGGUUUCACUCUUUGGGCAGGUCCAAAGAGAGACAGUCCACUGGGAGAGUUCCCAGUCUUCCGAGUCCCAGAGAGAAAGAAAACUCUUCUCCCAGUCACUGUGACAGAGUACCAGGAUCGGCUCUGAAUUAUUCUGGGUCCUAUACCUUUCCCCAGAAAUGGACUUGAGUGAGCACCACUCAAGCCAUAUGGACUGAGGUGGAGGAGUGCUGGUUCCCUAAGAGAUCUAAUGACCUUCUCCAGGAGUCGAGGACCCACUACCUCGCUGAAUUCUCAGAGUCAAAAUGCGUCUCUACCUGCUGGUCCCAGAACAGUCCCCUGCUGCUGCAUUGAAUGAAUCUCAUCUCACUUCCUCGAGUCAGCCCUACCUAUAUUUGAUGAUCACAAACCUUAUCCUUACGUUGCCAGCAGUAACAUUCUGCAUCCCUCACCCACUCCACUGUGUCCUUUUCCUCCCACUGAUCUUCACUCUGCCUUUUCUAGGGGAACUCUGAACAGUAUUUCUGAGAAGGGAUGAGGAAACUGAGGCUCAAAGAAGAUAAUGUGCCCAAGGUCACCUCGCUAGGAAAGAGUGGAGCUGAGAUUUAAACUGUGACUUUAAGCCCAAGUUCAAGGCUUCUUACUAGUUUUAACUACAUUCCCAUACCCCUUUUAAUCAAUCAUGUAAAUAAAAUCUUAAUUCUUUUAAAAAAUUAAUAUGUGUUUCAGCUUGUCCUGUAGAGAAGACUAAUACUUACAAAUGGGAAAUAUUCGUCAAGCUUUAUUUUUUCUAGUUUGUCUUAUGAAAUUAAGUUUUUCAGCCUUUCCCAAUAUAAAGCUAUAUUUUAUAUUAAAUAUGCUUUUUAUUUAUUUUUUUGAGACGGAGUUUUGCGCUUUUUGCCCAGGCUGGAGUGCAAUGGCGCAAUCUCAGCUCACUGCAACCUCUGCCUCCCAGGUUCAAUCGAUUCUCCUGUCUCAGCCUCCCAAGUAGCUGGGAUUACAGGCGUGUGCCACCAAGCCCGGCUAAUUUUUGUACUUUUUAGUAGAGACAGGGUUUCACCAUAUUGUUCAGGCUGGUCUUGAACUCCUGACCUCGUGAUCCACCCACCCUUGGCCUCCCAAAGUGCUGGGAUUACAGGCAUGAGACACUGCGCCCAGCCAAGUCUUAGUUAUUUCUACAUGUAAGUAUUUCAUGAUCCGUUUGUGAUUUGGACAUCAAAUGCUGAGCAUAAUGCUUCGCUGACCUCACCUGAGACCUGCAUCCACUGAAUUUUUACUGUAUGUGCUUAGGGCCGAAUGUAAUUAAAGUCUUGUUUAUUUACUUCUUUUUUUUUUUUUUUUUUUGUAAAUAAGGUCUCCCGUUACGCAAGCUGGAGUGCAGUGGCAGGUUAAUAGCUCAUUGUAGCCUCAAAUGUAGCCUUCCCAGUAGCUAGUGAAGGCCUUUUUAGAGGGGCUCUUGCUUUGAACAGUAGCAAAUAUAUAUUUGCCAUUUUUGUAGUGAGUGUCUGCAUUUGUGCAGUAAAUGAGCUCAUGAGUAAACUGAGGAGUACAUGGACUCAUCUCCUCCUCUUUCUUUUCUUUUUUUUUUGGUUCAACAUAUUUCUGUUGAACAAAUGUACAUACACACUGAACAGCUAUAUCCUGUAGUUCAGUAUAUUUCUGUUGAAUGAAUGAGUCUCUACCACUUGUUUAUAAAUAUAAACAUUUAUGUAAUUUUAAUAGUGAAUAACAUACAUGUUUUGUAACUUGCUCUUUUCAUGUCAGCAUAUACAGAUCUGCAUCGUUAUUUAUAAUUGCUUUAUUGUACUCCUUUGUGGAAAUUCCCCUCUAUUUAAUCUAUUUAAUCUUAAUAGAGGGGAAAUUCCCCUCCAUUUAAUCUGUUCCCUACUGAUAAUCACUUAGAUUUUUGCCUUUUUAUUUUUUGUUUUGUUUUGUUUUCUUUUGAAACAGGGUCUCACUCUGUUGCCCAGGCUGGAGUACAGAGACUCGAUCACAGCUCACUGCAGCCUCAGACUCCUGGGCUUAAGUUGCCCAGGCUGGUCUUGAACUGAGCUCAAGCAGUCUGCCCACCUCAGCUUCCCAAAGUGCCGGGAUUACAGGUGUGAGCCACUGUGCCCAGCCUAUGUUUUUAUAUUAAACAGUGUUAUAGCAAAUACAAGUAUAUGUGCAUGUUUGCAGGAAUCGCUAGUGCAGAGUUUGCACAUUAUGAAUAGCCACUGCCAGGCUUUUCAAGUCCUUUUUUUACCAAUUUACAGUUUCACUGAAUUGGGUGAGGAAAUUUCCUGCCCUACACCCUCUGUCUCACUUUGUUUUGUGCUGCUGUAACAGAAUAUCUGAGACUGGGUAAUUUCUAAAGAACAAAGAUUUAUUCUUACAGUUCUCAACGCUGGGAAGUCCAAGGUCAAGGGGCCCACAUCUGGUGAGGGCCUUCUUGCUGCAUCAUCCCAUGGUGGAAGGUGGACGGGCAAGAGGGCAUGCUUGCCUGCAGGAGAGGAAGAGGGGGGAAGGGGCCUGUACUUAUUCUUUUAUCAGGAACCCCUCCUGCGAUAACUAACGCUUUCAUGAGGGCAGGGCCCCGUGACCCAUCCCCUCUUAAAAAUCCGCCCCCUCAACACUGCUGGAUGGGGAAUGAAGUUUCCAACACAUGAACUUUGGGGAACACAGUCAAACCAUAGCAUUCUGCCCCAGCCCCCCAAAUUCAUGUCCUCUCACAUGCAGAGUACAUUCAUUCCAUCCCAACAGGUUUAAUGUUUUCAUUUGUUCCAGCACCAAGUCAAGAGUCCAGAGUCUCAUUUGAAUCAGAUACAGGUGAGACUUUGGGCAAGAUUUCUCCUAAGGCAGAUUCCUCUCCGCCAUGGGCCUGGGAAAUUAAUGUGCUUCCAAAAUAUGAUGGUGGGUCAGGCAUAGGACAGCAAUUCCCAUUCCAAAGGGAUUCGUUUCCUGUUGUUGCUGUAACAAAUCACCACAAAGUUAAUGGCUUGAAGAAUACAAAUGGAUUAUCUCACAUUUCCGGAGAUCAGAAGUUCGAACCAGAUCUGCCUGCACUACAAUCAAGGUGGCAGCAGGGCUGAUGAAUGCCUUCCUGGACACGUGAGGGGAGCAUCUGCCUCCUCACCUUUUCCAGCUUCUUGGGUCUGCCCAUGUUCCUUGGCCUCUUCCUGCAUUUGUCAAAGCCAGCAGCAUUUAUGCUGUGCCUUUCUUCCAAAGUUGUGUCUUCACGGACUUCCUGGGCAACUAUGAAGGACCUCUGUGAUUACACUGGGCCUGUGGGGAUAAUCCACGCUAAUCUCCCUUUAUGCUGAUUAGCAACUUUCAUUCCAUCUCCAACCUUAAUUCCCCUUUGCUAUGUAAUCUAACACAUUCACAGGUUCUGGAGAUUCAGAAAUGGACAUUACUGGGGAGGGGAGAGCAUUUUUCUGCCUACUCUAGAUCCAAAUGUCAACCCAAGGCUGAACAGCCCUGAUUUCAAAGGACAUAUGCACACAUGACACAUAUCCACACGUACAUGCAUUAUACACACAUACCUGUACACAUUUAGACAGAUAUGUGGAGCAUCUUUACAGGUCAGAACACAAAUAUACACCUCUACCUCCUUUUUAUGGCUGCAGAGUAAGCCAUUCUGUGGAUAUACCAUGUUCUACUUAACUGCACGAAAGCAAGGCAGCACCACCAAACCCUCCAGCCUCAUAUUCAAUCUAACUGAACUGUGGACUGAAGACAGCUCAAGACCGUCAAACCUCCACAUCACAAACGGUUCCUCCAAGGCUGUAGGGAUCUACUUGAGCCUUCAUAAUAGCCAACAGUAGCAGCCAUAUUUGCUAGGUGCUUUCUAUGCCCCAGACACUCACUGGGUUGACACCUACAUCUAUUCUAAUUCUCAAACCAGGCAAAUCGGAUAGGAUCCACUAUUACUCCCAUUUUACAUAUAAGGAAAGUGAAACUCCAAGAGGUAACUUGCCCAGGACCCCAGCACUAAUAAGUGGGAUUGUGGGAUUCAAACCCAGAGGGCUUGACUAGCCACCCCUAGACUUAGUUUAUUUAAACCAGGGAGCAGACUACACCUGAAGGCUCAAUCCAGCUCACUGCCCAUUUUUUAUGGCCAGAAAGCUCAGAAGAGUGGUUAUUUUUAAAUGACUAGAAAAAACCCCAAAAGAAUAAUAAUAUUCGGUAACACGUGAAAAUUAUAUGAAAUUCAAAUUUCAGUGUACAUGAAAGUUUUAUUGGAACACAGCCAGGCUCCUGUGUUUAUGUGCUAUCUAUGGCGGCUUUCAGGCUACAACAGCAGAGUUGAGUUGUUGUGAUAGAUACCGCCGUGUGAUCUGCAGAGCUCAAAACUGACUCUCUAGCCAUUUAUCCUUUCUCCAG